GUAGUUGGAUUAACAUUAAUCCACAUUUGAUGAGAUGGAUUAGAGUAAAACUUAAACUAAAUUGCACCUCAACCCACCUCAACAUAUGUAGAUUGAGGUGAAUCCAACA
rfam:Sorghum bicolor cultivar BTx623 chromosome 3, whole genome shotgun sequence.